CUGUGAGGGGAAUGAUGUACUACUAUGAAGCUCUCAAGAUGCUGACAUUUCUUGAUUCUGCAUCUGAACAUGACUUACGG
rnacentral:snoRNA from 10 species